rnacentral:rRNA from 1 species
CGCUUCAGGCUUAACACAUGCAAGUCGAACGAUAUAGUGGCAGACGGGUGAGUAACGCGUGGAAACGUGCCUUUCACUACGGAAUAGCUUUUGGAAACGAAAGGUAAUACCGUAUACGCCCUCCGGGGGAAAGAUUUAUCGGUGAAAGAUCGGUCCGCGUUAGAUUAGCUAGUUGGUGAGGUAACGGCUCACCAAGGCUACGAUCUAUAGCUGGUCUGAGAGGAUGAUCAGCCACACUGGGACUGAGACACGGCCCAGACUCCUACGGGAGGCAGCAGUGGGGAAUAUUGCACAAUGGGCGCAAGCCUGAUGCAGCCAUGCCGCGUGAAUGAUGAAGGCCUUAGGGUUGUAAAAUUCUUUCGCCAGGGAUGAUAAUGACAGUACCUGGUAAAGAAGCCCCGGCUAACUUCGUGCCAGCAGCCGCGGUAAUACGAAGGGGGCUAGCGUUGUUCGGAAUUACUGGGCGUAAAGCGCACGUAGGCGGACUUUUAAGUCAGAUGUGAAAUCCCGAGGCUCAACCUCGGAACUGCAUUCGAAACUGGGAGUCUAGAGAUCAGGAGAGGUUAGCGGAAUACCGAGUGUAGAGGUGAAAUUCGUAGAUAUUCGGUGGAACACCAGUGGCGAAGGCGGCUAACUGGACUGAUACUGACGCUGAGGUGCGAAAGUGUGGGGAGCAAACAGGAUUAGAUACCCUGGUAGUCCACACCGUAAACGAUGAGUGCUAGUUGUCUGCAGGCAUGCCUGUAGGUGACGCAGCUAACGCAUUAAGCACUCCGCCUGGGGAGUACGGCCGCAAGGUUAAAACUCAAAGAAAUUGACGGGGGCCCGCACAAGCGGUGGAGCAUGUGGUUUAAUUCGAAGCAACGCGCAGAACCUUACCUACGCUUGACAUGCCCGGACGAUUUCCAGAGAUGGAUCUCUCCCUUCGGGGCCGGUGCACAGGUGCUGCAUGGCUGUCGUCAGCUCGUGUCGUGAGAUGUUGGGUUAAGUCCCGCAACGAGCGCAACCCUCAUCCUUAGUUGCCAUCACGUUUGGGUGGGCACUCUAGGGAAACUGCCGGUGCUAAGCCGGAGGAAGGCGGGGAUGACGUCAAGUCCUCAUGGCCCUUACGCGUAGGGCUACACACGUGCUACAAUGGCAGUGACAAUGGGUUAAUCCCCAAAAGCUGUCUCAGUUCGGAUUGUCGGCUGCAACUCGCCGGCAUGAAGUUGGAAUCGCUAGUAAUCGUGGAUCAGCAUGCCACGGUGAAUACGUUCCCGGGCCUUGUACACACCGCCCGUCACACCAUGGGAGUUGGAUCUACCCGAAGAUUGUGAGCUAACUUCGGAGGCAGCAAGCCACGGUAGGUUCAGCGACAGGGGUGAAGUCGUAACAAGG